UUCAAUUAAAUCCGAUGCCCCCAGAUUGAGACGUCAAGGAGACCUAGAUUCAACGCAAAUCAAACCCUUUUCGAACUAAAGUACAUAUUCUAUAGAAGGAUGCAAUUGAAUCUGGGCAAAUUCGAAUAGGGCGGAGUAGACUAUUCGAACCUGUUCGAACUCGGGACUCGAGCUAUUUUGAGUUUUUUCCGAUAAUCGGCCACUGCAGCGGUACGACGUCUAGCUCUUUUGAGUUUUUUUGAGAUCUUUGUAAUGCAAUGUGUUGUAUGGAGGUCGUAUAUAGUUGUUCGAUGAAAGCUGUUGGAUUGCAGAAGUCGGAGCGAUGAUCUUGAAGGCGAAGAGACGGAGACAACUCAGAAGCAGUGUAUUUAGAAAGAGGUUCGGGCUCG
rnacentral:lncRNA from 1 species